ACAAGCAGAAGGUAGUAAGAAUCUAUUUCAGUCACCUGAAGUCAACAGAUAUGACAAUUCACAAAGUGAGCAUGGUGGCUAGGUGAGAAGGUUCUGUGUUUGCAGUCAGUUUUCAGUGCAGAACAUCACCAUAAUUUCUCACCCCCAGGAACAAGUGACUGGAGGAAAGGUGUGCAUUUUCUCCCCCAGGAGUGACAGCUGUCCAAACACAAUGAGAUUACUUUCAAGGACCUGAUCGAUAGUCUCUGGUGUCUUUUAGGAAAGAAUAUGGAGAUGAAUGUUUCUACAAAGAGCCUGUUUUUACAACCCUUCCUUGACUUUGGUACAUCUUUUCCUGAGAAGAGGCUGUCAAUAGCCUAGGGUUUGCUUCUUGGAAGAAUGUAUUUCAGUGGUUUCUCCUCUCUGCUGCUAUAUUGUAUGCAAACGCUCCUUCCAAAGCUAAGUAAACUCAAUUUUGAAGAUAGUGCUGGGGUGUCUGUCCACAUGUCAUCCCUUCCAUUAAUUCGCCCCAAUGGUAUUUUAGCAUCUCCCUGGUUCUACAAGGUGGAAGUAGUAGGAGCAGCUGACACAGCCCAGGGCCAGGCAGCCCUAGAGAAGGAAGACUGGCUUAGGGGACUGCCUGGUCCUUAUGCUGUAUGGGGAGUUUGGGACUUCACCCUGCAGCUGGCUCCCUCUAUGCUCUUAUGUGAGGGGAGAUGCAAACAAGGUGAUGGGUCUGUUCUGAAGCCCUGGUCUUUCUGAUGCAUACUGUGGCAUUUAAUA